rnacentral:rRNA from 1 species
UACGGAGGGUGCAAGCGUUAAUCGGAAUUACUGGGCGUAAAGCGUGCGCAGGCGGUUAUGUAAGACAGAUGUGAAAUCCCCGGGCUCAACCUGGGAACUGCAUUUGUGACUGCAUAGCUAGAGUACGGUAGAGGGGAUGGAAUUCCGCGUGUAGCAGUGAAAUGCGUAGAUAUGCGGAGGAACACCGAUGGCGAAGGCCAAUCCCCUGGACCUGUACUGACGCUCAU